CCUACGGGAGGCAGCAGUGGGGAAUAUUGGGCAAUGGAGGCAAGUCUGACCCAGCAACGCCGCGUGAAGGAUGAAGGCUUUCGGGUUGUAAACUUCUUUGAAGGGGGAAGAGCAGAAGACGGUAACCCUUAAAUAAGCCCCGGCUAACUACGUUGCAGCAGCCGCGGUAAGACGGAGGGGGCAAGCGUUUUCCGGAGUUACUGGGUGUAAAGGGCGUGCAGCCGGAGAGACAAGUCAGGUGUGAAAUCCACGGGCUCAACCCUGGAACUGCAUUUGAAACUGUUUCACUUGAGUGUCGGAGAGGUAAUCGGAAUUCCUUGUGUAGCGGUGAAAUGCGUAGAUAUAAGGAAGAACACCAGUGGCGAAGGCGGAUUACUGGACGAUAACUGACGGUGAGGCGCGAAAGCGUGGGGAGCAAACAGGAUUAGAUACCCCAGUAGUC
rnacentral:rRNA from 1 species